rnacentral:rRNA from 1 species
UACGUAGGGGGCUAGCGUUGUCCGGAAUCAUUGGGCGUAAAGAGCGUGUAGGCGGCCCGGUAAGUCCGCUGUGAAAGUCCGGGGCUCAACCCCGGAUCUGCCGUGCCGACUGUUAGGCUAGAGUACUGUAGGGGCAGGCGGAAUUCCGGGUGUAGCGGUGGAAUGCGUAGAGAUCCGGAGGAAGACCGGUGGCGAAGGCGGCCUGCUGGGCAGUUACUGACACUGAGGCGCGACAGCGUGGGGAGCAAACAGGG